AAAAACCCUCUGAAGCUGCAUGGAAAUGUUCCCACUCCUCCUCUGUUACCUGCCGGGGCAGGACUUGUCCUUACCAUGGGGACAUGGAGCCUGGCUUCCUUGGGGAAGUUCGAGAGACCCAGGAGCCCCCCAGCAAACUCAGAUCCAGUGACAGAAUUCACAGGAGAGCUGACAUGUUCCUAACGGACUCCCAGGAUCCACUGGUGCAGUAAGUGAACACCCCCCUCGGCCCUGUGUGUCGGCUCUGAUGUACUACACACCUCACAGACGUGGAGCGGUAGGACCAAGAGGACAUGGACUGAGCCUUCUGCAACUGUGAGCCAGAGUAUGCCUGAAAGGUGGCCACGCAGGGUGUGAGCCCUGUGACGUAUACUCACUAGAACUUCCCGUUACCCUUUUGGCAGUCAUAGGAGGUGUCACAGGACACCUUUCGGUUGGCAGAGGUAAAGCAGGAAGGGCACAGCUGAUAUUAGCCGUUGUGUUUAUGGGUCCUCAGGCAAAUCUUGAGGAUGCAUGAACGCAUGGGAGUCUCCUGCCUUACAGGCAUCCCCGAGGCUGGUGUGUGGGCGUAGGAAGCCUUGAGCGACUCUGUGGACGCUGUAAACGCCUGGCGUUGGGUUUCCAGCAGGAAAACAGGCAGCCCGGCCCUGGAGUGAAUGCCAAGACAGGUAGACAGAGCGUUUGGCUUUGUAAUUCACAGCUAUUAAACUUCUCAGAGACGCGGCGGGAACUUUUCUUGGGGUAAGAAAGUCUGACAAAAGAUGAAGAGAACUUAAUGUCACUUUGAGACCUGGGCUUGGGUGCAGUCUCUUAACGCUAAGUGAUGAACGCCUGGCCUCCAGAGUUCACACCUAUCAACCCUGCAGCUCCUCGGAUCCACCAGGCCCCAGGGAUGCCAGGGUGGGAAAAUAAACCCAGGCAAACUGUGAGGCUUCCUUGGCUCCAGGCCCAAUGAAUAAUUUCAUUUUAAGAGACAUAAGGGAAAUAUUUUUAAAAUGCAAAAUAUAUUCUUUGGUUUUUGGCAAUCCAAUCACUCAGUUAGUGUAAAAACAUAAAUUCAAAUAUCAAAUUGUGUUUCGGAAAAAAAAAUCAUGGCAGUUUCUCUAGAGACAUUAACACAAUGGAUCGGAUACGUUAUAGAAUUAAAGUGACUGAGCCUGGGGGUGUCCAGGGCCACCCGUGUCCAGGCAGCUAUGUACUCUCAGCCUUGUGCUUUUUUGUCUAAGUGGUGUCUGUCCAGGCAGGAGACAGAGGCCUGACAACUGUAGUGGACCUCAGUGCAUCAGUCCCCGCCCACCCUGGGGCCGGCCCCAGCCACACAGGAUGCUGUCUUUCUCUGAAUUUAUUUGGAAAACAGCCAUGCUCUGACUUAGAUAUAUUUUGGAUUCACAUUUCCUUUCUCAGAGAAAUCUCAGCUCAGCUCGAUACACUAACUGUGAGAGAUGCCACCGGGACACGUAAUUCAGAUGUUUCGAUUCUUACCUGAAGUUUCUGGGUGAACAAAAGGAUUCCGAAUGUGCUCUUGAUCUUCAUUUAAAUAGAACCACUCGGCAAGAUAUGUCAUGAGCAGUACUCGGAUGCCCGUGGAGAUGCCACACUCCUGACAGCAGGAAGCUCCUGGAAGGCUUAGACGUGACGCUUUGGAGCCCUGAAGUAAGAGGACAGAAGAAGGCUCGUCCACUUCACAUCUGAACAGCCGGGCUGGGAAUCUGUUCAGUGGGUGACGUUCUAACGUCCGAUCCUCAAGGCUGCGCCCUCAGAGUGACCCACGUCACGCUCGGGCUUUUUGUGUCUUUCCAGGAACAUGGCCACACGCGGAGAUGGUGUCCACUCUGGGAGCGGGCCUGUGGCCAGGCUACUUCUCUUCCUCCUGUAGCUCUGUCCUUUGCCUCCAGGGCAUGCGCGCCCAGGACAGGAAGAAAGAGGCCUGUGAGCCCCGGAGUGUGUGUGGGCUGGAUGCUGGGUCCUGCAUGAUGGGAAGUCGGGGUAACAGGCCCAGAGGAGGGUUCAGGAGCAGGGACAGCUGAGGUGUCUCUGAAGUUCAGGACUGAGGCUGCUUCUGAUUAUCCUGAGAGAGCAGUAGAUGACCAUUGUCACAGAGAAAGAAGCCACAGUGAGUGUGGGCCUGCGGCUCCUGACCUCAGAGACUCUUUCCUUCCCUAUCCUCCACCGAGAUGGGGAGCAGCUGGGACCCCAACUCAGUGCAGAUCCUUAUAAGACUCCAACAAGUGGGAAAGAAACCAGAGGGGACAAUGUGUGGUUGUCAUCUACUGUGGUCCUCUGUGGGAAACAGCACCCCCAAAACUGCUGAGCAAAUUCUGAACAUAGACACCCUAGAUGAGGGCAUCUUUGAGGAAGAAGGGAGCCCUGACAUCCAGCCAGGGACCCCUCCCCAGGAGCCAGGGUUGUGUAGGGUGUGUCCCCAGGGAUGGAGCCCUGCAGGGACGCUGUGUGAACAUCUCUGUCCUGGUCCCUUCGCCUCUCCAGGGGCUGGAGGCAGAGGCAGGAUUAUGGCGUUGAAGAGCACAAAGCUUUAUGAUCACAUCGCUUCAGAGAGAGCCAAUUCUAGCUUCUCUUUGCACUCAUGAGGAAAAAUACGGCUGUUUCAGUCCACCCCCCUUAACGUCAAAUAUUAUCUUGCUAAAUUGCCAAUCUGAAAGAUGAAAAACGUUCCGUAAUUGUUCCCAUUUGCAUUUGAAAAUGACUUGUGCGGCUGAGUGUUUCUCCAGCUUUGGCGCUCAGGUGACUUAAGUGCCCUUGUUUGUCUCCCUGUGUUCUCCUCAAAUUCUCAGGACACUAAGGCCUCCCCGCAUUCCCUGCUAAAACUUUUCUCAGUGUGCUCUCUGACUUCAAAUGACAGAAGAAAAACGAAAACAUGACUUUAUGACAAUAAAUAACAGUGAGCUAAGGUUUCCUGUUAAGCGAUAGAGACUGAUAGAUUAGCGUAGAGUGUGGAAAUCAUUUACAGGAAGUACACAGAAAUAAAAUGGCAAUUUGCUGAUCUGUAUCAUAAAGGAAAACUCUGCUCUGCGUGGCAUGAAGCCUGCUACCCAUUUGGGGAAGCAGUUCAGAUCAGACUUCCCUCCCCCAGCUCUCCCACAUCCCAGCAAGGGUGGACGGUGCCGCGUGCGUGACAUGUUUUAUGAAAUAUUCAAAAUACCUGCCUGAAAUCUGUCUUCUGGCCUCACAGUGUGUGCUGUUCACUACCAAACUGACCAGCAGUGGACUCUAAAUCUAUCGUCACAUACGGCGACCCUGGGAGUAGCUUUCAUUGCCCCUAAGUUGCAAGUGAGGACACAGGCUCUGGGCGUCCCUGGUUUCCUGAGAGGUAUAACCAGAGGGGAGGAGCCCCAGUGAGACCAACACUAAUGCUGCCUUUGCUGGAAGUGCCGUGCAGGAGACAGGAGACGCGGGGGCCUCAGGAGCCUGGUGGUGAGCAGAGCCGGGGAGCUGGGGAGGACCGAUGGCCCUGCCAAUGUAAAACAAAUUCCAAUUCAAGGCAACAAUCGUCGGGUGGAUAACAAGGGACAUCAGCUGAUAAAAAGGAUGUGGCUCAGGGAAGGCAUCUCAGUCCUGAGCAUUUGGUGCUAAAUACCAGCUUCUAAAUAGACCAAUAAAACACUUUUAGAAAUAGACAUAUAAGUGAGUGGAAGCCCAUUCAUGGGAGAUUAUGCGUCUCAUAGGCUUUGAUGGAAUAGACAAUGCAUAAAUUAAGGGUCUAAUGAAUUUGAAUAGUCUAACUAACAAUGUUGCAUCCACACAUUUUUAUCCAGUAUCGGAUCAUCCAAAAUUAUUAAUUCAUCUUCCCAAGCCACUAUGGAACAUUUGUAAAAUAGUGAUUAUAUGUGAUGCCUUUAAAUAA